rnacentral:rRNA from 1 species
ACGGGAGGCAGCAGUGGGGAAUAUUGGGCAAUGGGCGAAAGCCUGACCCAGCAACGCCGCGUGAAGGAAGAAGGUCUUCGGAUUGUAAACUUCUUUUAUCAGGGACGAAGGAAGUGACGGUACCUGAUGAAUAAGCCACGGCUAACUACGUGCCAGCAGCCGCGGUAAUACGUAGGUGGCAAGCGUUAUCCGGAUUUACUGGGUGUAAAGGGCGUGCAGCCGGGAAGGCAAGUCAGAUGUGAAAUCCACGGGCUUAACUCGUGAACUGCAUUUGAAACUGUUUUUCUUGAGUGUCGGAGGGGCAAUCGGAAUUCCUAGUGUAGCGGUGAAAUGCGUAGAUAUUAGGAGGAACACCAGUGGCGAAGGCGGAUUGCUGGACGAUAACUGACGGUGAGGCGCGAAAGUGUGGGGAGCAAACAGGAUUAGAUACCCUGGUA